rnacentral:rRNA from 1 species
UACGUAGGGUGCGAGCGUUGUCCGGAAUUAUUGGGCGUAAAGAGCUCGUAGGCGGUGUGUCGCGUCGGCCGUGAAAACCUGGGGCUCAACUCUGGGCGUGCGGUCGAUACGGGCAUCACUUGAGUUCGGCAGGGGAGACUGGAAUUCCUGGUGUAGCGGUGAAAUGCGCAGAUAUCAGGAGGAACACCGGUGGCGAAGGCGGGUCUCUGGGCCGAUACUGACGCUGAGGCACGAAAGCGUGGGGAGCAAACAGG